CAUCGGAUCGGUGUCUCCGUCAGGUGUCGGCGGCUCCCCCGGUUGCGGUCCCUCACUGGUUGGAGAAAUCUGCCGGGAAGGUUCCUCACUAUGGCUAUCAUGCUCAUGGGAAUCCUCCCCACUUCUACCUCAUCCACAACGGAAAUCACUGGCAAUAACCCAGAACGGAGAACCAAAUUGAGAACCCAAACAAAGAAGUAUGAAAACAAUACUACUGCUAUAAAUAGAUCAACUCGAAUCCAAAAGAAGAAAAAAGAAGCAGAAAAAAAGAUAUUUGAGAAGUAACUCGUAUAUAAAUAUAUAUCAUGUAAUGGAAGGGACUGUAAUUACUCGUUAAGGAUUGCUUUUUGAUGCGAGGCGAUUAAUGAAUUUCCAGUCCAAUUUCGUGUUUGGAUGCCAAAACUUUGUGAUGGUGAGUUUGUUCAUCUUCUUUUUCCCAUUUUUUGGUUUAAAAAAUUUAUGGUAUAUAUAUCUCCAUUACCAUUAAGCGCGUAGCAGCUUCCGUUCUGUCCUUGUAUUUGCCGUUAGGAUUUUGUCCUUUAGCUCGUAAGCGUAACAGCAGGGUGCAUGCUUGAUCUGUUGUUUCGGAUUCGUGUAUGUGCGUGCCGUGUCCCCCCGUCUUGCUUUUAUCUUCUCAGGUUUCGUUUUUUGUCGGCAUGUAUAUGUCGUCCAGUCUGCCCUGUAGAUUGCCAUUAUUAUCCUCCUUGUUCCCUGUUACGUAUUCUUUUCAUGUCACCCAUGUUCAGUUUUGUACUUUUCUUAAUUUGUUUCUUUCGUCUUUCUCCAUAUCUCUCCCUCUCUCUUAUCUUUUCUUUUUCUUUUGGUGUUUAGUUAGCUAGGUCUAAUCUUAUCUGUUUAUUCUAUAAUUAAUCGUUCCCAUUUAGAAUAAUUUAUUUGGAUUUAAUGUUCUUAUCAUUUGUUUGUGCAGGUCAGUGAAGUGAAGAGAUUAGAAAGAAUGGAGGUUGAAGAUGAUGGGGGAGAAAGUGCUGGUAAAUCACAGUAAGUAAAACAAUUGCUUUCUGGAACUAAAUUACCACUUGCCAAUAAUAUUAGUUACUUGCUUACAUUCGAUUACCAGUUGGCAUUUCUGUAUGUGCAUAAGAUAUUCUUAUCAUCAAUUAAGUACUUUUAUUUUAAAUGGGCCCCUUAUAUACACGCAUAUGUACAUUAGGUUCUUUGAAUAUAUUCGAGGAGAUAGCCAUUUAAUGAUUAGGAUGCUCUGUUCCUUUCUCCCUUUUCCCUGUUUUUCUUAUUCUCAACCCUCCAUUUGGGUUUGCCUCUUGAGGACACAAACUGUCACAUCCCAUUAGCUGCCAUGAAUUAUCAUCUUCCCACCCUCCUCCUGAGUUUUAAAACAAAUCAAUGAGAAGUUUUAAUAGAAUUUACAGAGAAGAUAAUAUAGUAGAAGCUUGAAAAAUAAUCCCAAGAUUUGUGUUUGGCGUUACUGGUACGAGUUAUAUGAUAUUUGUUUGGUGAUAAAUGGAGCAUGAAUGACAAGGGGUGAUUUUGAUUUUGACCAGAUACCCUGAAUGGCAUGCAGCUGGCAUGGAACCACUGGUAGUUUGAUUCAUACCAAACAACAGAAGGGCGAUGGCGAUGUACUUGAAGAGAUUGGUAGAUGGGACCAUCCGGGUGCUCUGGAAUUACCCUCGAUUAACUCGAAAUUGGGACGUAUGGCGAAAGAAACUAACAUUCUUUAAAACUGAUGGCAUAUAAUAAAGACAGCAGAGAAUCAUAUAUGACAAAACCAGAAAUUGGAAGUAAACGGAAAGCAAUUAUUAAUGCAAAUCCAAAAUAGAAAUAUACCCGAUAGAAGGAAAAGGGGAAAGAGCAUAGAAGGUUUCUGGGGUAAGGAUGUCCAGUAAUACAUGGCAGCAUUUUCAAAAGGAGGAUUCCCAUGGCGGUGGGUGUUUUGGAGAGAGAUAAAGAUAACUAAUUGUUAAUUUGAGACAUUAAAAAGAAGAAAGUGAUUUUGGUAUUGUUGUGGUCGUGGAGAGUAAAAGAUAAAAAGUGAUUUAAGGUUUAGGGUAUACCCCCACCCAUGUGCUGUCCCUAUUUAUUCCCUUUCAUCUCCAUCUCCAUUUUAUUUUUUUGUGGGAGAAGAGAAGAUGAUGUAGGGUAGGGGUAGGGUUUUCAGUCGUUUUUAGUAAAGAAGAAGAAGAAGAAGUGGGCAUUGUCAUGGAUCCCACAACAUUGAGAGUUGAGAGUGUUUGUUAUGAAACAUUAAUUGCUGAUAAUGUGGACAUCCACUGGGCUGCUGACGCUGAUGAAAAGCCCUCUUGAGGGCUGUUGUUUCUGGGGGGGGACUCUUUUCAACCACCACUAAUUUUGAAAUCUGAAUUAU
rnacentral:lncRNA from 1 species